GUGUGUGCAAUCCACUGUGUCUCCUGCAAUCCCAUUACUGUCCCAGAUAGAGUGAUGAAUUUGCUGGUGUUGGCCGCUGUCUCUGCAUUUUUGACCAGGGUUUCCCAGAUGGCUGUCAGAAACACUGCAUCAGGCUUGGAUAUCCUGCAAGUAAUGCGCCUGGCAGAUGGGCAUGAGCUGCCGUGUUUGUUGCAAGUCCUUGUCCUCUGCCUGAAAGAGUAAGGAAAUGGGAGACCUGAGCCUUCUCUGAUGGUAAGGUCAUUUAUGCCCACCCGUUUUUCAUCCUCGUGGUAUUCCUGCGGCUGAAAUCUCUGUCCUUCUGCUUUGAAGGGAGCUCUUUUUUUGUCAGUGUGUGCAAUCCACUGUGUCUCCUGCAAACCAAGUGCUGUCCAUGGUAUAGUGAUGAAUUUGCUGGUGGUGGCUGCUGCCUCUGCAUUUCUGACCAGAGUUUCCGGGACGGAUGUGAAAAAAAUGGCCUCAGGCAUGGAUAUGAUGGAAGGAACGCGGUGAGCAAGGUCCAAUGAGAGAGGGCAGGGAGGUGAAGCCAGGGGCUGCACCUAGUGUUGGGUGGUGGCUGCUCGUCCGUGGUUGGUUUGUGUGUCUCUUGCAGGGUGGCAGAUGGCCAUGCAUUGUGUUGGCGUGUUUGUUGCAGGUCCUUGUUUUCAUUACCUGAAAGAGUAAGGUAAUGGGAGACGUGCGACUGCUCUCCUGGUAAGGUCA